CAGCGGGCCGCCCGGCCGGGUCAGCGCGGCGGCGGGCUGCGGGCUAGGCCAAGGACGGGGACGAGGAGGAAGUGGCGGCGGCGGCGGCGGGACUGCGCGCCCGGAGCCCCGUUCCGCGUCCCCGCCGCCGGGAGGAGGUGCCCGCAAGCUCGCGGCGCGCGCCGGGCCGCCAGACUCGGCCUGUGGGCGAUUUCCUCCGGACCCCAGCUCCCCGCCCGAAAAGGAAGAUGCAGACCUUUCUGAAAGGGAAGAGAGUUGGCUACUGGCUGAGCGAGAAGAAAAUCAAGAAGCUGAAUUUCCAGGCCUUCGCCGAGCUGUGCAGCUGUGCACCGGGACCGUCCAUACCCAGCCUUGCAAGUAAACACUUUCCAACAGCCUCCGAGGGAGCAAACUGGGCUUCGCACGGGAGAAGACGGCCAUCUGGGCGCUGCUGUCUGUUGGCGAGCCUGCCUGGGUCCCAGGCCUGGGUCUACAACGGGCCACCCAUGUGACCCUGGGCAUGUGCCUCAGUGUCCUCAUCUUUAAAGUGAGGAUAAUGACAGUGUUAGCUCAGGGUUAUGAGCCUUAAAAAUGUCAGUGUGCAGAUGCAUACUGUGCCUGGAGCUCUGUGGACGGUGGUUGCUGUCCUUGGUGAGGGGGGAGCGGGCUUCCGCCCACGAAUGCCUUUUUAUUCCCAGAUCUUUGGCAUUUGCAGAUCGAGCGUCCCCGGCCUGGGCAGUUUUUGAGUGACCCUGAAGUCCGGGAGGGAUGCUAUAACUGCUCCUCCUGCCUGGGUGUGAGGCGUGUGGGGGGCCGGCGGGCACGGCUAAGGAGGGGCUACCCUGCCUGGUGCCUCCCAGCAUCUCCCUUCACACCCGGCCUGUGGGACUCUUAGAGCCCCUUGGGGGGCGGGGCUGCUGUCCUCACCUAUUUUAUGGAUGAGGAGCCUGAGAAAAUUACGUUAAUGCCAGAUAAUACUUUCAUUUUUUUAAGUUCUGAGAUUCAAGAGGAGUUUGCGCUGGGUUUCCUGAAAAUGCCCAGAGUCUCCAUGAGCAGUCACGAUGCUGUUAUUCACUAACCUUUAUUGUUUUAUCUUUUUGAAUAUUAAAUACGUGCAUAUGUUAACAUAAA